AACGAACGCUGGCGGCAGGCUUAACACAUGCAAGUCGAACGCCCUAGCAAUAGGGAGUGGCGCACGGGUGAGUAACGCGUGGGAAUAUACCGUUUAGUGGGGAAUAACGUUGGGAAACUAACGCUAAUACCGCAUACGCCCGAGAGGGGAAAGAUUUAUCGCUAAAUGAUUAGCCCGCGUGAGAUUAGGUAGUUGGUGGGGUAAUGGCCUACCAAGCCUACGAUCUCUAGCUGGUCUGAGAGGAUGAUCAGCCACACUGGAACUGAGACACGGUCCAGACUCCUACGGGAGGCAGCAGUGGGGAAUAUUGGACAAUGGGCGCAAGCCUGAUCCAGCCAUGCCGCGUGAGUGAUGAAGGCCUUAGGGUUGUAAAGCUCUUUCGCCGAUGAAGAUAAUGACGGUAGUCGGAGAAGAAGCCCCGGCUAACUUCGUGCCAGCCGCCGCGGUAA
rnacentral:rRNA from 1 species